rnacentral:rRNA from 1 species
CACUUGACUAGCUGAGAGGAGGUGCAUGGCCGUCGUCAGUUCGUACUGUGAAGCAUCCUGUUAAGUCAGGCAACGAGCGAGACCCACGCCAACAGUUGCCAGCUCGUCCUCCGGGAUGGUGGGGACACUGUUGGGACCGCCUCUGCUAAAGAGGAGGAAGGAAUGGGCAACGGUAGGUCAGCAUGCCCCGAAUUAUCCGGGCUACACGCGGGCUACAAUGGUCAGGACAAUGGGUAUCGACACCGAGAGGUGGAGGCAAUCUCCUAAACCUGUCCUUAGUUCGGAUUGUGGGCUGCAACUCGCCCACAUGAAGCUGGAAUCCGUAGUAAUCGCGUUUCAAAAUAGCGCGGUGAAUAUGUCCCUGCUCCUU